AUUGAACGCUGGCGGCAGGCUUAACACAUGCAAGUCGAGCGAGCGGCGGACGGGUGAGUAAUGUCUGGGAAACUGCCUGAUGGAGGGGGAUAACUACUGGAAACGGUAGCUACUACCGCAUACGAUCAGAUGUGCCCAGAUGGGAUUAGCUAGUAGGUGGGGUAAAGGCUCACCUAGGCGACGAUCCCUAGCUGGUCUGAGAGGAUGAGCAGCAACACUGGAACUGAGACACGGUCCAGACUCCUACGUGAGGCAGCAGUGGGGAAUAUUGCACAAUGGACGCAAGCCUGAGGCAGCCACGCCGCGUGUAUGAAGAAGGCCUUCGGGUUGUAAAGUACUUUCAUCGGGGAGGCGUUACCCGCAGAAGAAGCACCGGCUAACUCCGUGCCAGCCGCCGCGGUAAUAC
rnacentral:rRNA from 1 species